UGGUAAGUAUUUGUAAGAAUAGUUAGGUAGGUAUGAUAUAUAAUUUACUCUAGUCAUGUAAUAUUUACCAAAUGCUUUUUCUAAUAUGAUUUUUCUUAUAUCUACUACUUUUAUAUCUUUAAGUGCAUACAAAAUAAGUAUUUUAAAUUUAUCUACCAUCACAUCAGAUAAAUAAUUAUUCAUUUUCAUAAAAUUGUUUUUUUCAAAAUAUUUCCUUCAACCAUGUACAUAACAAAAUAUGGUCAUCUUAGAUUACUAUAUACUAGAUUAUUCUUAAAUAAUAUGUUUUUCGGUCACUAUUUUAACAUGGUAAUUCGGAUACUUUUUC
rnacentral:lncRNA from 1 species